rnacentral:rRNA from 1 species
AGUGAACGCUGGCGGUAGGCCUAACACAUGCAAGUCGAACGGCAGCACAGUAAGAGCUUGCUCUUACGGGUGGCGAGUGGCGGACGGGUGAGGAAUACAUCGGAAUCUACUUUUUCGUGGGGGAUAACGUAGGGAGACUUACGCUAAUACCGCAUACGACCUACGGGUGAAAGCAGGGGAUCUUCGGACCUUGCGCGAUUGAAUGAGCCGAUGUCGGAUUAGGUAGUUGGCGGGGUAAAGGCCCACCAAGGCGACGAUCCGUAGCUGGUCUGAGAGGAUGAUCAGCCACACUGGAACUGAGACACGGUCCAGACUCCUACGGGAGGCAGCAGUGGGGAAUAUUGGACAAUGGGCGCAAGCCUGAUCCAGCCAUACCGCGUGGGUGAAGAAGGCCUUCGGGUUGUAAAGCCCUUUUGUUGGGAAAGAAAAGCAGCAGGUUAAUACCCCGCUGUUCUGACGGUACCCAAAGAAUAAGCACCGGCUAACUUCGU